UUUCUCAAUCAAAUAUUGGUAAUUGCCCUCAUCACAGGGAAAAGAAAAUCCAAGUAUUAAUUCAGAUUCGCCAUUCUAUUUCUUUUUGCUUUCAAAGAGGGGAUGAUGACAAUGGGGACAAUGGGUAUUGAUGCAUUUAAGCAAUCUUUUCAUUUGUAAUAUGUAUUUGUUAACUUAUAUAAAAUUAUACACUUUAAAUGAGUGAGAGAUUCUGCUGGAUUAUGAUAGUAUAUCAGUUUGUACUAGUUUAGUAGAUGAUGGAAGAUCAUAGCCCGCCUGUUUCUGUCCGUGAAGUUGCAGCUUCUUCACUUCUUGUUUCUUUGACUUGGUAUCUUUUGCCUCUCCCACCUCGAUGGCCUGCUGCCCUAGCUACCUUCGUCUAGUUUCUCCAAAUGGGCUAUACUGUAAGGCCAUGAGCCAAUGACCAAGAUUGCAGACAAUUACCAACAGGAAAAAACAGCUAUGGAAGAGUAGUA
rnacentral:lncRNA from 1 species